rnacentral:rRNA from 1 species
GAUGAACGCUAGCGGCAGGCUUAACACAUGCAAGUCGAGGGGUAACAGGGAAGAGCUUGCUUUUCCGCUGACGACCGGCGCACGGGUGAGUAACGCGUAUAGAACCUACCUUUUACAGGGGAAUAGCCCAGAGAAAUUUGGAUUAAUGCCCUAUAGUAUUAUUGAAUGGCAUCAUUUAGUAAUUAAACAUUUAUGGGUAAAAGAUGGCUAUGCGUUCUAUUAGCUAGAUGGUAAGGUAACGGCUUACCAUGGCAACGAUAGAUAGGGGUCCUGAGAGGGAGAUCCCCCACACUGGUACUGAGACACGGACCAGACUCCUACGGGAGGCAGCAGUGAGGAAUAUUGGACAAUGGAGGCAACUCUGAUCCAGCCAUGCCGCGUGCAGGAAGACGGCCCUAUGGGUUGUAAACUGCUUUUAUACGGGAAGAAACCCAACUACGUGUAGUUGGCUGACGGUACCGUAAGAAUAAGCACCGGCUAACUCCGUGCCAGCAGCCGCGGUAAUACGGAGGGUGCAAGCGUUAUCCGGAAUCAUUGGGUUUAAAGGGUCCGUAGGCGGGCUAAUAAGUCAGGGGUGAAAUCCAACAGCUUAACUGUUGAACUGCCUUUGAUACUGUUAGUCUUGAAUUAUAUGGAAGUAGAUAGAAUGUGUAGUGUAGCGGUGAAAUGCUUAGAGAUUACACAGAAUACCGAUUGCGAAGGCAGUCUACUACGUA